rnacentral:tRNA from 1 species
GCGGUAGUAGCUCAGUUGGUAGAGCGCAAGCUUCCCAAGCUUGAAGUCGAGGGUUCGAGCCCCUUUUACCGCU